rnacentral:rRNA from 1 species
UCGUACGCUCUCGGGAAGAGGGCGUGGCGGACGGCUGAGUAACACGUGGCUAACCUGCCCUUGGGAUCUGGAUAACCCCGGGAAACUGGGGCUAAUCCGGAGCAGGCAAGGGAAUCUGGAAUGAUCUCUUGCCUAAAGGCCUCUCGGCUGAUCCCGUCGAGAGGCGCCCAAGGAUGGGGCUGCGGCCCAUCAGGCUGUUGGGGGAGUAAAGGUCCCCCAGACCGAUAACGGGUAGGGGCCGUGGGAGCGGGAGCCCCCAGUUGGGCACUGAGACAAGGGCCCAGCCCUACGGGGCGCACCAGGCGCGGAACGUCCCCAAUGCGGGAAACCGUGAGGGCGUUACCCCUAGUGCCCUCGCAAGAGGGCUUUUCUCCACUCCAGAAAGGUGGAGGAAUAAGCGGGGGGCAAGACUGGUGUCAGCCGCCGCGGUAAUACCAGCCCCGCGAGUGAUCGGGACGUUUAUUGGGCUUAAAGCGCCCGUAGCCGGCCUGUAAAGUCACCGUUUAAAGACCCGGGCUCAACUCGGGGAACGGCGGUGAUACCUACAGGCUAGGGGGCGGGAGAGGUCGGAGGUACUCCCGGAGUAGGGGCGAAAUCCUCAGAUCCCGGGAGGACCACCAGUGGCGAAAGCGUCCGGCUAGAACGCGCCCGACGGUGAGGGGCGAAAGCCGGGGUAGCAAAUAGGAUUAGAUACCCUAGUAGUCCCGGCUGUAAACGAUGCAGGCUAGGUGUCGCGUAGGCUUUGUGCCUGCGCGGUGCCGCAGGAAAACUGGUAAGCCCGCCGCCUGGGGAGUACGGCCGCAAGGCUGA